rnacentral:rRNA from 1 species
GAUGAACGCUAGCGGCAGGCUUAACACAUGCAAGUCGCGGGGCAGCGGGGGAUGAGCUUGCUCAUCCCGCCGGCGACCGGCGCACGGGUGAGUAACACGUAUGCAACCUGCCCCUGUCAGGGGGACAACCCACCGAAAGGUGGGCUAAACCCGCGUACAUCCGGAGGGGGCAUCCCCUUGGGAGGAAAGGAGCGAUCCGGACAGGGAUGGGCAUGCGGCGCAUUAGCUAGACGGCGGGGUAACGGCCCACCGUGGCGACGAUGCGUAGGGGUUCUGAGAGGAAGGUCCCCCACAUUGGAACUGAGACACGGUCCAA